GAUGAACGCUGGCGGCGUGCCUAACACAUGCAAGUCGAGCGAACAGACGAGGAGCUUGCGCUUCUGCCGUUGGCGACGGGCGGGUGAGUAACACGUACAUAACCUUCUUCUAUGUCUUGGAUAACUUCGGGAGGCCGCAGACACUACUAGAGAAUAUGUCGAACGGGUGGGAGCAGUAGAGAUUCGGCGUUUUGGUGUUUCUUUGAGACGGAUCCGCGUCGGAUUAGCUAGUUGGUAAGGUAACGGCUUACCAAGGCGACGAUGCGUAGCCGAGCUGAGAGGAUGAUCAGCCACACUGGAACUGAGACACGGUCCAGACUCCUACGGGAGGCAGCAGUGGGGAAUAUUGGACAAAGGGCGAAAGCCUGAUCCAGCCAUGCCGCGUGGGUGAAGAAGGUCUUCGGGUCGUAAAACCCUGUUAUUGGGGAAGAAAAGCUGUGUGAUUAACCAUGCCUGUUUUGACGGUACCUAAUGAAUAAGCACCGGCUAACUACGUG
rnacentral:rRNA from 1 species